GUAGGUGAACCUGCGGAAGGAUCAUUAUCAACGUAUCCACGUUAUACCAACCGUGAACCUUUCUUUGCCUCUGGCUGGUGUGGUGAGUGGGAUUAGGUUUAAAUGACACUGGCGCUGAGUGAAUUUUUUCACUCUGGGACUCUCUUUAGUUGUGCAUUUGAAGAGUACCGUUCAGUGUUGUUUGCUUUUUCUCCUCGAUUCAAUUCGUACCAUGCUGGCCAGAGCGUAGUUUCAAAUCCCGCACUGUUUU
rnacentral:misc_RNA from 1 species